rnacentral:rRNA from 1 species
AGAGUUUGAUCCUGGCUCAGAUUGAACGCUGGCGGCAUGCCUUACACAUGCAAGUCGGACGGUAACGCGGGGCAACCUGGCGACGAGUGGCGAACGGGUGAGUAAUGCAUCGGAACGUGCCCAGUAGUGGGGGAUAGCCCGGCGAAAGCCGGAUUAAUACCGCAUACGACCUAUGGGUGAAAGCGGGGGACCGUAAGGCCUCGCGCUAUUGGAGCGGCCGAUGUCAGAUUAGGUUGUUGGUGGGGUAAAAGCCUACCAAGCCGACGAUCUGUAGCUGGUCUGAGAGGACGACCAGCCACACUGGGACUGAGACACGGCCCAGACUCCUACGGGAGGCAGCAGUGGGGAAUUUUGGACAAUGGGGGCAACCCUGAUCCAGCCAUGCCGCGUGCGGGAAGAAGGCCUUCGGGUUGUAAACCGCUUUUGUCAGGGAAGAAACGCUCUGAGUUAAUACCUCGGGGUAAUGACGGUACCUGAAGAAUAAGCACCGGCUAANUACGNGNCAGCCGCCGCGGUAAUAC